rnacentral:tRNA from 1 species
GGUCCGGUAGCUCAGCUGGAUAGAGCAACUGCCUUCUAAGCAGUCGGUCACGCGUUCGAAUCGCGUCCGGAUCACCA